UGGGGAAUAUUGCACAAUGGGCGGAAGCCUGAUGCAGCGACGCCGCGUGAGGGAUGAAGGCCUUCGGGUUGUAAACCUCUUUCAGCAGGGACGAAGCGUGAGUGACGGUACCUGCAGAAGAAGCACCGGCUAACUACGUGCCAGCAGCCGCGGUAAUACGUAGGGUGCGAGCGUUGUCCGGAAUUACUGGGCGUAAAGAGUUCGUAGGCGGUUUGUCGCGUCGUUUGUGAAAACCCGGGGCUCAACUUCGGGCUUGCAGGCGAUACGGGCAGACUUGAGUGUUUCAGGGGAGACUGGAAUUCCUGGUGUAGCGGUGAAAUGCGCAGAUAUCAGGAGGAACACCGGUGGCGAAGGCGGGUCUCUGGGAAACAACUGACGCUGAGGAACGAAAGCGUGGGUAGCAAACAG
rnacentral:rRNA from 1 species